rnacentral:tRNA from 1 species
GGGAUUGUCGUCUAGCUUGGCUAUGAUACUAGUCUGGGGGACUAGUGGUCGCAGGUUCAAAUCCUGCCAAUCCCACCA